rnacentral:rRNA from 1 species
AUUGAACGCUGGCGGCAUGCCUUACACAUGCAAGUCGAACGGUAACAGGUUAAGCUGACGAGUGGCGAACGGGUGAGUAAUGUAUCGGAACGUGCCCAGUCGUGGGGGAUAACUGCUAGAAAGAGCAGCUAAUACCGCAUACGACCUGAGGGUGAAAGCGGGGGAUCGCAAGAACUCGCGCGAGUGGAGCGGCCGAUAUCAGAUUAGGUAGUUGGUGAGGUAAAGGCUCACCAAGCCGACGAUCUGUAGCUGGUCUGAGAGGACGACCAGCCACACUGGGACUGAGACACGGCCCAGACUCCUACGGGAGGCAGCAGUGGGGAAUUUUGGACAAUGGGCGCAAGCCUGAUCCAGCCAUGCCGCGUGCGGGAAGAAGGCCUUCGGGUUGCAAACCGCUUUUGUCAGGGAAGAAAAGGUUCUGGCUAAUACCUGGGACCCAUGACGGUACCUGAAGAAUAAGCACCGGCUAACUACGUGCCAGCCGCCGCCGUAAGAC